AACGAACGCUGGCGGCGUGCUUAACACAUGCAAGUCGAACGGAAAGGCCCUGCUUUUGUGGGGUGCUCGAGUGGCGAACGGGUGAGUAACACGUGAGUAACCUGCCCUUGACUUUGGGAUAACUUCAGGAAACUGGGGCUAAUACCGGAUAGGAGCUCCUGCUGCAUGGUGGGGGUUGGAAAGUUUCGGCGGUUGGGGAUGGACUCGCGGCUUAUCAGCUUGUUGGUGGGGUAGUGGCUUACCAAGGCUUUGACGGGUAGCCGGCCUGAGAGGGUGACCGGCCACAUUGGGACUGAGAUACGGCCCAGACUCCUACGGGAGGCAGCAGUGGGGAAUAUUGCACAAUGGGCGGAAGCCUGAUGCAGCAACGCCGCGUGCGGGACGACGGCCUUCGGGUUGUAAACCGCUUUCGCCUGUGACGAAGCGUGAGUGACGGUAAUGGGUAAAGAAGCACCGGCUAACUACGUGCCAGCCGCCGCCGUAAGAC
rnacentral:rRNA from 1 species